rnacentral:rRNA from 1 species
UACGAAGGGUGCAAGCGUUACUCGGAAUUACUGGGCGUAAAGCGUGCGCAGGCGGUUUUGUAAGCCAGGUGUGAAAUCCCCGGGCUCAACCUGGGAAUGGCAUUUGGGACUGCAAGGCUGGAGUGCGGCAGAGGAGACUGGAAUUCCUGGUGUAGCAGUGAAAUGCGUAGAUAUCAGGAGGAACACCGAUGGCGAAGGCAGGUCUCUGGGCUCUACCUGACGCUGAGGCGCGAAAGCGUGGGGAGCGAACCGG